GACGUAGGGCGCAAGCGUUGUCCGGAUUUAUUGGGCGUAAAGAGCUCGUAGGCGGCUUGUUGCGUCUCCGUGAAAACCCGCAGCUCAACUGCGGGCUUGCGGACGAUACGGGCAGGCUAGAGUUCGGUAGGGGGAGACUGGAAUUCCUGGUGUAGCGGUGAAAUGCGCAGAUAUCAGGAGAACACCGGUGGCGAAGGCGGAUCUCUGGGCCGAUACUGACGCUGAGGAGCGAAAGCGUGGGGAGCGAACAGG
rnacentral:rRNA from 1 species